rnacentral:lncRNA from 1 species
ACCAAGGGGAUUGUGUCAGUGGCAUUGGGGCUAGAGAACAACUCUUGGUCAGUCUGGAUAAGACCUUUUUGUUCUUUGAGAUUCACAUAGUAUUUGUUGUCGAAAACCGUAGGGGUACGCAGAUCAAAAUCAACCAAGGCACUUAGGUUACCAUUAAGGGGGCAUAGUCCACGAAGAGUUUGGAGGUAAGUAGUAUUGAGGGUAGGAUCAGGUAAACCUGUGUUGCUGAAAUUGUAUAGUCUGCGUAUAAUGAACUGGCAUUGAUUUUUACCAAAUGUGUGACCCCC